GAAAUUAAGUGAAGAAAAGAAGCUAGAGACUUAGAACCACAUAAGAAAAAUUCAAGAUCCAACUAGUUUCUCCAUUCUUGACUUUGCAAAUAACAGAUACUUCAAGGAGACAAUUGUCGGAAGCGAAUUGGAGUUAUUCGGCAAGAGUACAGUGAGUGAUAAUUCCUUCAUAGUUGAUUUUUUUUUCCUAUAGCAUGUUUUAAAUUCAUUUUCUUGCAUAGAAUUGGUUGUUUAAUGAAAGAGAUUAUUUGCACGCGGACAAGCAACAACAUGACCUUAGAUAUGAAAGCAUAUCAAUUCACUUUUACACACUGGAUGUUCUUGAACCAUGCCAUUUAUGAGUUGUUAUAUAUUCUCUUUUGAUAAGGAUGAGUUGAUACAUACUGCUGGAUUUAAAUUCUUGACACGGAAAGAAUAUAUUUGUAUUAUGCAAAAGGAACUUUCGGAAGAACCUUUGCCAGAGUCCCGUUAUCUAACGUCGGGAUCGUUAGACCUGGUGCACCUUGUAAGUGAACUCGUAUUGUACAAAAGCCCUUUAGAAGGGAACCUAGCUGACGGGGUAGUUAGACGGCUAUGGUAAAUCCAUAGUGUCAGAACGUAUAUUUUGAUAAUGGCAUAGGGACCUCCCAAUAAAUAAGCACGUGAUUACUUAACUGGUUUAAACAUAGUUUUCAUAGAUGUAUUGUGCUGUUGGUUUAAAGGAGAUAUCUUUUGAUGAUUUUACAUGUUGCAUGAUUUCUUAUACAUAUGCUUGUCCCAAAUAAAAUGCUAUGAUUGACAUUAUUACUCACUCAGUCGGUGUGACUGGCCCUACUCCCUUGUUUUAAUUUCCUACAGAUAACUUAACCGAGGGUGACAUUCUGACUCAGACAGAGCUGACAACGAAUCUAGUAAGCCCCGCACUUGUUUCGCGUGGGCCAUCAUGUUGCUGACUAUUAUAGUAUAUUAGUUUUUUUUUUUUUCAAAUCCUAGAGUUUUGCUCCUUAAGUCGGCCUUGUAUAUCUUAUUUUGGCUUGUGUUAGUAAAGUAUAGCUUGGGACUUAUAUGUUUUGCGAAAGCCCAUGGCUUGGGAUGUUGAUGCUCUAUAAAACUUAAUAUAUUGGUAUUGUAGCUUGUUGGAUUA